GUGCUCGCUUCCGCGGCACAUAUACUAAAAUUGGAAAGAUACAGAGAAGAUUAGCAUUGCCCCUGCGCAAGGAUGAGAUACAAAUUCGUGAA
rnacentral:snRNA from 1 species